AGGAGGAGGAGGAGGAGGAGGAGGGGAAGGAGAAAGAAGAAGAAAAAGGAGGAGGAGGAGGAGGAGAAAAGUUCAUUUGCUCUCUUAUGAAGCCAAGCCCGGCCACAAGGACGUGCAUCUCUGACCUUGCAGAGUUACCUGCAGUCAAACCACGGUCCCGAAGCAGAUGAUCCGCUUCCUGCCAUAUGAUCAUCACCACAGCCUAACACUACGUCAAAAUGCCUACGUCACUUCAUCUCAUCACGUGGGCAUUUUAGCAUCUCACAUCAUCACAAGAAGACAAAGGAUGACAGAAUCGGAUCCACUCCGUCCAGUCAGCAGGCUGAGGAAGAGGGUGUGCUCACCUGCGAGGCUUUCCUGGGCGGGGUCUGGAAGCGAUGAUGUCACUUCUGCUCACUUUCACUGGCCGGAACUCAGUCACAUGAUCACACCUCACUGCAAGGGAAGCUGGGAGAUGUAGUCUCGCCCUGCGCUCAGGGGAAACCAGAGAUGGGAUUUGCUGACUGGGCGGCAAGCUCUGCCCAGGCUCUUUCCUGCAUUAAGGCCAUUGAAGCCCCAGAAGGAGAUGUUACGAAAGAGUCACACUGCGGCUGGACUGGAGUUCAAUGCCAGGCCUCCUGGCUCCUCAGCACAAUGGUACCUGGCUUCCCAUGGAAGAGGAGAGGGAGGGCAAGGAAGCCGAAGAACAGUGGGAUGAAUAUUGUCAACCAGGAAUAGGAAGCUAUAUUCGAGGGACAGUGGGCAGAGGUGGGACUUGGAGUCCCAAGACGGGGUUUUAAGGCCUUUGAGGCCAUUUUUCGCUGUGUGGCAUUGUGCAACUCAGUUUUUCUCUGAGCCUCAGUUUAUUGUAAUAGGAUGAUAACCUGUCUUUUUUUUCUUUUAAGAUUUUAUUUAUUUUAUUUGAGAGAGAGUGCGUGCAAGCAGGGGGAGGAUCAGAGGGGGAGGGAGAAGGGGAAAGGAUCCCAAGCAGACU